AAAGGUCUUGCCCUGUGAUCUCUUCUCACCAAGGUACUACAUAUGCAUUUCAACUGGAGCUGUUUUUGUUCAAGAGUCUUUUCAACUCUAAGGAAUUACCAAUGCACUGGGAAUUUCAGCACAUUCUGGCUACUAUAAUGUUGGAUUUGCCCAUGACAGGCUGUUUACCUCAAGCCUACAGAAAUGAAAUUUGAAGAGUGUGAAAUCAACUGAAAGGCUCAGAGUUAAACCCCUCAAUGUACCCCUCACAGUUGUGUGGCAGACAGAGGUGGGAGGAGGUAAGGGAUGGUAGGAUAUAGCCACAUAGAGAAUGUCAAGCUGAAAACUGCAACAUGAUAAAAGGAGAAUGGUGCUAGUGCAUAGGAAAAUAGAAUCUAAGCACAGAAAGAUCCUAGUUAAGGUUACCAAAAAUUAACAAAAAAUAAUCACCGAGGCAAGUAAAAUCUGGCAAAGCAGGGUGGAAGACUAAGG
rnacentral:lncRNA from 1 species